rnacentral:lncRNA from 7 species
UAGGAGAGACAUUCAGAUAUCAUCAGCCCUUGUUUUCUUAUUGUAAACUGCCAUUUGCAGCGCUUGUGACAAAACAGGCGAAGACUUGCUGUUUUGCAGAGAAAAUUCACAUGGGAUCUAACUCAGAAACUGGUGUGCAUUUCUCUUUUAUAAAUACCCGUGUUGUGAAAGAGUCUGCUAUUACAACAGAGGGGUAUACUUUAAAUUUAUCCUUAUAGCCAUGUCUGUCAUUGGCAUUAAGCUCAACCACAUGGUCAGCUCUAUGCUUCCUGCUCUACCAACUGACAUGGGAGUGAACAAAUCCCUGCAUAAGCACAUUGACUGCAAUGUGAUUUCCUCAAGAAGUUGCUUACUAACAAUGUUAAAAAGAGCACAGCGUGGAAGUGUGCUAUUAAAACUGCCAACUGAAAGUAUUCUCCUGACUUUCAAGCAUUACAUGCAUUUUGCCCUGAAGGUAUGCUUCUCAUAAUUUAGGAGAUCAACAUUAAAUGCUGUCAACAAGACUUUUUGUAACUAGUAAUUAUUUCAAACUUUACUUUAAGCAUCUUUGUAGCAGCUUGUUAACUCUGUUAGGUCUAUCAUUGUGUUUUAGCUUUUGUAUUUUUGUUUUUCUAUGACUGUUUUAAAUGCAAAGCUGUCACUAUAGUUCUCAUGUGAUGUAGUACUGAAUACAGAUAUGAAUUUCAACUGUUGUUUUGCUUUUAGCUGAUUCUAGCUCUGUUUGUAACGAUACAAGAAAUUACAGCCCUGGUCACUGAAUUUCAAUUCAGAACUCAGAACCACUUUUCUAAAGCCUUGAGAAUGAUUGGAGAUCUAGAGUACAUCGCUUGCAUAAAUUUAAUGAAGGGAUUGCUUGGUUUUUAAAAAACUCAUGAACAGAAAUGGUCUUCUAACAUGAAACUCUUAAUACAAAAUUUUGUUUCUCUAUCUAUCCUUGAUAGGGCAAAAAAAUAAUGAGCUUAAAUUUCAGCAAGGAAAAUACAGAUUAGAACAUAGAAAAUCUCUAACACGGACUGUUAAAGCAUUGAAAAGAUUGUGGAUCUGCAACGUUGGAGCUUUAGGACCUGGUUAAACAAACAUCUAACUGCUAAUGUAGUUGGAAAAAAUUACUAUGUUAGAGGAAAGAAGAAUUAACUAUAUGUCCCCUUGACCGUAGUCAGAAGACUAAUUUUGAUCCUAUUCAGAUUUGCAUUUUGCAAAGCUGUAGAAAUGUUUCUUUCUCUCACCAGGAUAUUGCAGCUGAAAUGCUAGUAACAGCUAUUAUUGGAUAUAUCAAAGCCCUCUGGGAGAAGACUGAAUGUUUCUAACUUUAGCAAGAUAUAAUAUGAUCUAGUUAGAAUUUCCCUAGUUUCUUAAGUAUUCCCCAAACAUAUUCCUCAAAAAUAUUUCUCUUGUAGGGGGAGUUGAGAAAGCCCUUUCCAACACAGUGUUGUAGUCUUGUCACUGGUUGGAGUAGUAAUUUUUCAAAUAACAGAGUUCAGUAAACAAGUAAUCACUGACGUAGGAGCUCUACAUAAAAAUUCUCAUAAAAGGGCAUUCCAAUUCAUCCUAUCCUUGACUCUGUAGUCACUGAUGGCAUGCAGCUCGUUAUGGCCUUGAUGUUGGCAGUUGUUCUGUGAAAAGAGGAUGCUUUUGUAUAGAGUGGAGGAAAGAAGGAUGUGAGCAAAGCUGUGAAUAAUGCUGUAGUGUGAAUAUGCAUGAUAUAUCAUGGCUGAAUACUGAGGUACAUAGGACACAACAACACUGAAAUUUCUACACUAAGUAGAAAUUUCACACCCAGGCAACACAUGUUUAAGAAGGUAGCACAUAAUACAAUAAAAAUUUCACACCUGCAGAGAUGAAUUUCUUUACAUAGCUAAUGAAAUUUUUCCUUUUCUGACAACAUUGUCUCUGUCUUCUGGAAGCUGGUCCUGUUGACCCUCAGUGGGAUUAGGAUUUUUGCUUUUGAUUCUAGUUGUGUUCAUUUGCAGGCUGCAGAACUGUGAACAGACUAGUUGGCGGAAGUGUAAGAAUUCAAGCCUUU